UACAGAGGUCUCAAGCGUUGUUCGGAUUCAUUGGGCGUAAAGGGUGUGUAGGUGGCGCCGUAAGUCGGGUGUGAAAUUUCGGAGCUUAACUCCGAAACUGCAUUCGAUACUGCGGUGCUUGAGGACUGGAGAGGAGACUGGAAUUCAUGGUGUAGCAGUGAAAUGCGUAGAGAUCAUGAGGAACACCGGUGGCGAAGGCGGCCUUCUGGACAGUGACUGACGCUGAGACGCGAAAAGCGUGGGGGAGCAAACAGG
rnacentral:rRNA from 1 species